AGCAUUCUAUCGCGAGCCGUUUCGCGGUGCGUUUUGCUUGGUUCUCUUGUAUCUCUGUUAUCUUUUGAUUUUCUUAUUUAUAUCGAUACUCAAUGCUCAUUUUUUCUUAUAUAUAUGUGAACAGUUUUACUAGUAUUGAAAGUUCAUUGUGAAAAUUUCGUGAAUUUUUCGAGUGUAUAAGUGUCAAAAAUUUUAAUGGAAUUGUUAAUCGUGUGAUUUGAAAUAAAUGAAGUGUUAAGAUUAUUCAAGAUGUAUUUCAGAAAUGAAAAUUUGUGAUGAAACAUCGUUACAGAAAAGUGAUGUGUUUGAAGAAGUAUAUUGUAUACCUAUUUUUACGAAAAUCCGUCAAUUUCAUGGAUUAAUUUAUAUAUAUCAAUUGCGAAAUAAAAAAAAUGAAAUAACAAUAAAGAAGAAAAAACAAUACGAAGCAAAUGACGACUAUUUAGCAAUAAAUACAUAAUCAAACAAGUUGUUAUAAUUGUGAUAUGAUAACAAAUAAUCCUUCAACAGCGAAUUUUGCAGAGAAAAGAAGUGAUUUUUGUAAAUGAAUCUGUCUUAUAACAAAUAGAUUUAUAUAAGAGAUAAUUUCAACAUUGCGUUUUAUAAAAAAAAAAAAAAAUAAAUACUAUUUUCUUCAAAAGACAUGGAAUUGAUAAAAAAGAAUAAUAAAAAAGAAUAAUAAGAAGAAUAAAAAGAAUAAUCAACAUAAAUGAAGAUCAAUUUGGAUCGGAUUCUCAUAUAAACGAAUUAUGCUAAAGCGAGGAAGAAUUUGACAAUAUAAACUAAAUUGAAGAUUCUGACGACAGUGGGAAUGAAAAUUAUCACAAUGUAUAUCGUAAAAAAAAAAGGAAUGCGUAUUAUUUCAGAUAUUGAAAGCAAAAAUGAAACAAAAGAUGCUGAUAAUGAAGAAAAUACUGUGAAAGCAGGAUCCCGUAGAUGGCCUCUUCAUGUGUUUUAUAAUUGUUUUUAGAUUUGGCAGUCAUAAAUGUCUGGAUUAUUAUAUAAAAAGAUCAAUUGUAAUAAAAUGGAGUAAACAAAACUCGAAAGAAUUUUCUCUUUCAAUUAGCUGAAGAAUUGAGCAAUGAUCAUCACGACGAACAAAAUACUAGCUUCAAUUCAAUGUCUGAAGUCUAACUAUAUUUUCAUUAAAUUUAACAAAUAUAUAUGUGGAAAGUAUAUAUCCAAGAUAGUUUAUAUGUAAAAAAUGUAUUGAAGACAAUAGUAAAUAAAAAUCUGUAGAUUUUAAAUAAAUAAUUUACAAAAAAUUGCAUUUUAAUAUACCCGUCAAAAAGACAGAUUUCAGUAAAAAAAGAUAUAUAAUUAAUAUCCGUAAAUCUAGUGUCAAAAAAUUAAGCUUUUAAUGUUAAAAACUUUUAAAAAAUUUUUCAUACUCAAUUUGUUUAUUUUUAAAUUAUGUAUUACAUAAAUAUAUAUUUUUUUAAAAUUAUCGAAGCACAUAAA